rfam:Brevibacterium linens strain AE038-8 ctg28, whole genome shotgun sequence.
GGGCCUCUAGCUCAGUUGGUAGAGCAGCGGACUUUUAAUCCGCGGGUCGUGGGUUCGAUCCCCACGGGGCCCA